rnacentral:rRNA from 1 species
AUGGCGAGCUAUUUAAGAAGCUAUUUAAGAAAUGUGAAUUCUCAUUGUUUCGAUGAUUCUCAAUGGAAGAUCGGGGCGUUUUUGACCAAUUCUUUGCAAAUAAAAAAAAUCCGUUCAAGAAAGAAGAAGAUCAAUUUUGGGUUGAACCAACAACCUGAUUGUGUGGUUAUUCUGAAUGCAGAUAGAAAGUCUUCGGUCAUACUGGAAGCUGAUCGAUCACAAAUACCUAUUCCAUCCUUAGUUGAUUCUACGAUCCCAUGGGAAUCCUAUAAAAGAAUCACUUAUCCCAUCCCAGCGAAUGAUCCUAUACAGUUCGUAUAUCUAUUUCGUCAUUCGAUCAUGAAAACAGUGAUUCUUGAACAGAAUGCGAUUAGUAGAGAAGCGCAAUCUCUCAGAGUCACUUUGAGUACGGGGAAGUCCGCAGGAGGGAUGAGAUCCGCCUGCUACUCCACCUCUUCUUCUUCCCCAAUAGACGAAGAAGAAAAUAGGGCCAAGGCGCUAUUGGAGAUGCGCAAAAAAUAUCCAUCGGGAGAUGGCGCUGACGCUGACGCUAACGCUCGCAAGGCGGUUUUGCAGGCAAUUUCUAAAAAUACUUUUUUUUUCGUUGAGCUCAUAACCCGGUUUGGGCCGAUUGACUCUGAGAGCGAUCGAGGGGUCGCGGGCUCACACCCUUUUGCGCAUAGGAUCGAAGAGAUCCUAGAAUUUAAUGGAAAGAGCAGCGGCUCUCUGAAAGACCUCAUUGAUCUUAAAUUGGAUUUGGAAGACGCCUCUAAAAGAGAGGAGAUUCUACUUCCAUAUUUUUCCUCAAAAAAAGAGGCAAAGUCCUAG